GGGAGAGAAAGAAAAGCAGGUCACUGUUCUCAGGCUGCUGACAUUCUAGUGAGGAUGUAACAAGUAAAGGGAGAUUAAACAAGUUAUCUGUGAAGAUAACCAAGCAUUUCACAGCAGAAGAGAGGUUUUCUGUGAAACUCUGUUCAGUGCUUCCCUCUAGAGGUACCACUGAGAAAAACUUUUUUUUUUUUUUUUUAGUCUAGCUUCUUCUUCUUCUAGCGUUUGCCCUUCUUCCGUAGCCAGUCAACAGCGUCAGGUUGAGCCUGAUGUAAAGUUUCGAGACCUCCUUUGAAUCUGGAGAGGUGGCAGUCGUUGACUAUGUGGGUCAUAGUCUGUCUGUAGCCGCAGGGGCAGUUCGGGUCGUCUCUGGCUCCCCAGCGAUGGAAUAUAGCGGCGCACCGGCCAUGGCUAGGAACCAGCAUCACAUUGAGGAUUUUACUGGGAGAGGACAUGAACAGAAUCUUCACCAGAGAAGAUAUCCAGAUGGCCAACAGGCAUGCAAAACAUGAAGAAACUGGAACCCAGAGAAGUUAUUUAUACAAGGUAAAAUCCAAAAAAAAAAAAAAUCAAACACCAAAGAACAUAAUUUCAUUAUUCAGCUUUCUGUACAGAUAGUACUCAGUGACCGGGAGGGAUCAGAGCACCACCCCAUAAUCUUAUUAGUUCUAGAAAUAGAACCCCA